AUGGCCUCCGACCGCCUCAGCGCCCUCCGGGCCUUCGACGACACCAAGGCCGGCGUCAAGGGCCUCGUGGACGCCGGCGCCACCGCCAUCCCGGCCAUUUUCCACCACCCACCCGACGCCUUCGCCCCGUCCACUGUCGCCACCGACGUCGCCGUUCCAAUCGUCGACCUCUCCUGCGAGCGCUCGGCCGUGGUCGGCGCGGUGAGGGCCGCGGCGGAGACGGUGGGCUUCUUCCUGCUGGCGAACCACGGCGUGCCGGAGGCGGCCAUGUCGGGGAUGCUGGCGGCGCUGGUGUCCAACGACAGGUUCAAGAGCCCGGUGCACCGCGUGGUGUCCAAGAGCGUGGGGCCCCGGGUGUCGGUGGCGUGCUUCUUCAGGGCGAACGGCCCGACGGUGUGCGCCCCGGUGGUCGUCAACGGGAGCGGACCGCCGCGGUACAGGAGCAUCAAGGCGGAGGAGAUGCUCUGCAUGUCCAAGACACAGACACGGCUCAACAACGUGAGGCUCUAG
rnacentral:rRNA from 1 species